rnacentral:misc_RNA from 1 species
UCCGAGUUGACCCCGGCAGUCUCCCGUGAGUCCCCAACCACCCGAAGGUGUUGCUGGCAACACGGGACAGAGGUUGCGCUCGUUGCGGGACUUAACCCAACAUCUCACGACACGAGCUGACGACAGCCAUGCAGCACCUGUCACCUGGUUCCCGAAGGCACACCCGUAUCUCUACAGGCUUCCAGAGAUUUAGCCCGGGUAAGGUUCUUCGCGUUGCAUCGAAUUAAGCCACAUGCUCCACCGCUUGUGCGGGCCCCCGUCAAUUCCUUUGAGUUUCAUUCUUGCGAACGUACUCCCCAGGUGGUAUGCUUACUGCGUUAACUGCGUCACCGAACCCAAAGGCCCGACAACUAGCAUACAUCGUUUACAGCGUGGACUAC